AGAAAUCGUAUACUUGGUUCAGAUUAUGAUGAAAACAAGCCAAAACUUGACACUGAGAGUGUGAAAAUCUCCAUAAUACAAAAUCCUAGUCGAAGUUCUCCAUUAAACAGUCCUCCUCCUGUUUCAUCAAAGAUCAUAGCAACAAAAGAAUUUGAUAACAUCAUAAGGUUGCCAAGUGGACCAAACGAUUUAACUGGUUUUAAAGAAAACCGCUAAAGUGUGUUCUAAAUUAGAAUCGGUGGAUUUUACUUUAACAUUGAUCAUUCUCAAGUUAAAGGACAUAAAUGGCAUCUUAAUAUGAAAGUUGUUACCAAAGUUGAAAAGAGCUGCUGAUUGAAUAACAAGAGUAAAAUAAUCUGUUAUUUUAGCGUGGGAUCAAAAUUGACUGCUGAUUCAAGUUAAGCUCGCUUUUCAAACAAGUAGAUUGGUUUUAUUUCAAGCGAGUCAAAUUUCUUGAAGUCCAUAUUUGUAUGGUAAAAAAAAAAACAAGUUGAAGUGCACGAAGUACACAGUCAAAAUAUGUUUUCCAAAUACUCAAGUUAUUUUAAAUGUUUUUUAGGGCAUCUUAUGAGAAAAUUGACCUUUCUUGAAUACUUGCAGAACUUUAGUGAAAUUUUUGUUGUCUAUAUUUUAUUGAAUUUCAUUUUUUUAAAAGAAGAAUUUGAAAA
rnacentral:lncRNA from 1 species